UCCAUUUCCUAACAAAUUGCUGGGCUUAAGCCCAACAAACCAGGCUCCUCCAUUCAGUAUCUAGCACAGCCUACUCUCCGGCGACGUCGGUUGCAAACAAUGAACGAAGAAGAAACAGAAGCAGAGUACUUCUCUAAGGACUUCGAAUGGGAAACACUAAAGCAUGAGGUAGAAAGUAAUCCUUCUUUUCAAUACCAUUUACUUCCUUUCAAUUCCUCUCAACGACAACAUGAAAUUGAAGAUUCAAAGGCAUGGCAGAGAUUCCACGUCCGCCACUCCUCCGGCAAAUUCUUCAAGGAGAGAAGGUACUUGUUGAAGGAAUUUCCUGAGUUGGUUUCUUGUGGAGACUUCUCCAGGGUUUUAGAGGUUGGUUGCGGUAAUGGCAGCUCUGUAAUUCCAAUUUUACGUGGCAACAAAAACGUCAUCGUUUAUGCUUGUGAUUGUAGCGCUGAGACUCUUCAGAAAGCUAAAGAGGUUGCGGAUGAUGCCGCUAAUAUUGUCUCUGUCCAAUACCGCUUUAAGCCUUUCUGUUGUGAUUUCGCUCUCUCUGGGUUUCCAAAGUGGUUGUUUUGUAAUUCUUGCAAAUUAGCAAAAAAACGCUUCUCUUCUGAUGUCAGAGAGACAAGAACAGUUGAUGUAAAUGGUUCAUACUCGUUGGAAGAAGAUGGUUGUUGCAUUGGCGGAGUUGAUUUUGUUACCUUGAUAUUCACACUAUCAGCAGUGCCACUCCAAAGAAUGCCAACAGCCCUCUUGGAGUGUUUUUCUGUAUUGAAGCCUGGUGGCCUGCUCUUUUUCAGGGAUUAUGGUAAUAAAACAACCACCAUGAAUUUACUUACUGAAGAGUCCAAAAUCUGCUGUCAAUAACAGAUUUAUCUAUGGCUGUACGACAUGACCAUGCUGCGAUUUGAGCCAGACAAAAGAGUGGGAUUCCGAGAAUAUGUACGAUCAGAUGGCACCCGUUCUUAUUUCUUCUGUUUAGAUACUGUCAGGGAUCUCUUUGUGGGUGCAGGCUUCAUUGAGCUUGAGCUCGAGUAUUGUUGUGUCAAGUCUAUGAAUAGAAGAAAGAGAAAGAGCAUGCAGAGGGUAUGGGUCCAUGGGAAGUUCCAGAAGCCCAUAUGAAGAAGUAGCAGCAAAUGAUGUGUUGUUGAGGUACAAUUUGAGAUGAUAGCUGCUUGUUCUACAAACAUAUAAAUUUUAUAUACCAAAACACUGUUGGGUUCUCCAUUUGAUUUUUAAAGGGAUUUAGGCGAAAUUAAUCACUGAAAAAAAAAACAUUCUUCACUCUUGUUUUAUUGGAUCUUUUUUCCUUUUGUUGUGAGAUUGUUGCAAUGAAGAUGAAUUGAUGAGAUUAAUGCAAGGGUGGUUAUCGUUUUGGACA